AGUGAACGCUGGCGGCGUGCCUAAUACAUGCAAGUCGAACGAAGUGGCGCACGGGUGAGUAAUAUAUAGUUAAUCUGCCCUCCACAGCGGAACAACAGUUGGUAACGACUGCUAAUACCUCAUAGUGUAGGAUGAGACUAUAUCGUAUCAGCUAGUUGGUAAGGUAAUGGCUUAUCAAGGCUAUGACGCGUAACUGGUCUGAGAGGAUGAUCAGUAACAUUGGAACGGAGACACAGUCAAGGAACCGUCGGGAAGGAGCAGUAGGGAAUAAUGCGCAAUGGGGGAAACCGUGAAGGGGCAUCGGCGGGUGGAGGAUUAAACUUGUCGAAGAAUAAGCUAAGUUUAUCAGGAAAGCGGUACCUGAUGAAGAAGCACCGGCUAACUCCGUGCCAGCAGCCGCGGUAAUAG
rnacentral:rRNA from 1 species